rnacentral:rRNA from 1 species
AUUGAACGCUGGCGGCAUGCCUAACACAUGCAAGUCGAACGAGACCUUCGGGUCUAGUGGCGCACGGGUGCGUAACGCGUGGGAAUCUGCCCUUGGGUUCGGAAUAACAGUUAGAAAUGACUGCUAAUACCGGAUAAUGUCUUCGGACCAAAGAUUUAUCGCCCAGGGAUGAGCCCGCGUAGGAUUAGCUAGUUGGUGAGGUAAAGGCUCACCAAGGCGACGAUCCUUAGCUGGUCUGAGAGGAUGAUCAGCCACACUGGGACUGAGACACGGCCCAGACUCCUACGGGAGGCAGCAGUGGGGAAUAUUGGACAAUGGGCGAAAGCCUGAUCCAGCAAUGCCGCGUGAGUGAUGAAGGCCUUAGGGUUGUAAAGCUCUUUUACCCGGGAUGAUAAUGACAGUACCGGGAGAAUAAGCCCCGGCUAACUCCGUGCCAGCAGCCGCGGUAAU